rnacentral:rRNA from 2 species
GGGUCCAUCUAUUAUUCCAGCACUAAUCUAUCGGAUCCCGUCAGAACUCCGAAAUUAAGCAUGCUUAGGAAAGAGUAGUACUAGGAUGUGUUACCCUUGAGAAGUUCUCGUGUUGCAUCCC